CGCUGAUGCCCUUCCUGGGCGUUUCCUCCCUGUAGACUUUGCCGCGCCGUUGAGCGCGGCUUUUUUUUGCCUUAU
rnacentral:sRNA from 1 species